CCCUUAGAUGUUCUGGGCCGCACGCGCGCUACACUGACGAUGGCAACGAGUUUUUCCUUCGCCGAAAGGUGUGGGUAAUCUUUUGAAACAUCGUCGUUCUGGGGAUAGAUCAUUGCAAUUUUUGAUCUUGAACGAGGAAUUCCUAGUAAGCGCGAGUCAUCAGCUCGCGUUGAUUACGUCCCUGCCCUUUGUACACACCGCCCGUCGCUACUACCGAUUGAAUGGUUUAGUGAGGACUCCUGAUUGGCGCCGCCGCCCCGGCAACGGAGCAGCGGACUGCCGAAAAGUUGUUCAAACUUGAUCAUUUAGAGGAAGUAAAAGUCGUAACA
rnacentral:rRNA from 1 species